rnacentral:rRNA from 1 species
UGGGGAAUUUUGGACAAUGGGCGAAAGCCUGAUCCAGCAAUGCCGCGUGUGUGAAGAAGGCCUUCGGGUUGUAAAGCACUUUUGUCCGGAAAGAAAUGGCUCUGGUUAAUACCUGGGGUCGAUGACGGUACCGGAAGAAUAAGGACCGGCUAACUACGUGCCAGCAGCCGCGGUAAUACGUAGGGUCCAAGCGUUAAUCGGAAUUACUGGGCGUAAAGCGUGCGCAGGCGGUUGUGCAAGACCGAUGUGAAAUCCCCGAGCUUAACUUGGGAAUGGCAUUGGUGACUGCACGGCUAGAGUGUGUCAGAGGGGGGUAGAAUUCCACGUGUGGCAGUGAAAUGCGUAGAGAUGUGGAGGAAUACCGAUGGCGAAGGCAGCCCCCUGGGAUAACACUGACGCUCAUGCACGAAAGCGUGGGGAGCAAACAGG